rnacentral:tRNA from 1 species
GUGACUAUAGCUCAGUUGGUAGAGCACUGGAUUGUGGCUCCAGUGGUCGUGGGUUCAAAUCCCAUUAGUCACCCCA